rnacentral:rRNA from 1 species
CUAUGGGUUGUAAACUGCUUUUAUAAGGGAAUAAAGUGAGUCUCGUGAGACUUUUUGCAUGUACCUUAUGAAUAAGGACCGGCUAAUUCCGUGCCAGCAGCCGCGGUAAUACGGAAGGUCCGGGCGUUAUCCGGAUUUAUUGGGUUUAAAGGGAGCGUAGGCCGGAGAUUAAGCGUGUUGUGAAAUGUAGAUGCUCAACAUCUGCACUGCAGCGCGAACUGGUUUCCUUGAGUACGCACAAAGUGGGCGGAAUUCGUGGUGUAGCGGUGAAAUGCUUAGAUAUCACGAAGAACUCCGAUUGCGAAGGCAGCUCACUGGAGCGCAACUGACGCUGAAGCUCGAAAGUGCGGGUAUCGAACAGGAUUAGAUACCCUGGUAGUCCGCACGGUAAACGAUGGAUGCCCGCUGUUGGUCUGAAUAGGUCAGCGGCCAAGCGAAAGCAUUAAGCAUCCCACCUGGGGAGUACGCCGGCAACGGUGCAACUCAAAUGAAUUGACGGA